rnacentral:rRNA from 1 species
UACGUAGGGUGCAAGCGUUGUCCGGAAUUAUUGGGCGUAAAGAGCUCGUAGGCGGUCUGUUGCGUCGGCUGUGAAAACCCGGGGCUCAACUCCGGGCCUGCAGCCGAUACGGGCAGACUAGAGUUCGGCAGGGGAGACUGGAAUUCCUGGUGUAGCGGUGAAAUGCGCAGAUAUCAGGAGGAACACCGAUGGCGAAGGCAGGUCUCUGGGCAUUAACUGACGCUGAGGAGCGAAAGCAUGGGGAGCGAACGGG